rnacentral:rRNA from 1 species
AGUUUGAUCCUGGCUCAGAACGAACGCUGGCGGCGUGGAUUAGGCAUGCAAGUCGUGCGUGAAAGUGGUAGCAAUACUGCGAGUAAAGCGGCGAACUGGUGAGUACAAGGUGAAUAACGUGCCCACGGGUGGGGAAUAACCCGCCGAAAGGCGGGCUAAUACCGCAUGGUCUCUCCGGGCACCAAGCCCGGCGAGUAAAGCAGCAAUGCGCCCGAGGAUCGGUUCACCUCCCAUUAGCUAGUUGGUGGGGUAAUGGCCUACCAAGGCUACGAUGGGUAGCUGGUCUGAGAGGAUGGUCAGCCACACUGGGACUGAGAUACGGCCCAGACUCCUACGGGGGGCAGCAGUCUAGAGGCUUCGUCAAUGCCCGAAAGGGUGAACGAGCGACGCCGCGUGCGGGAUGAAGGCCUUCGGGUUGUAAACCGCUUUUGUUCGGGAAGAAUACCUGGGUCGCGCACCCGGGGGUGACGGUACCGGACGAAUAAGCCUCGGCUAACUCCGUGCCAGCAGCCGCGGUAAGACGGAGGAGGCAAGCGUUGUUCGGAAUUAUUGGGCGUAAAGGGCUCGUAGGCGGAUCGGCAAGUCUGACGUGAAAUCUCCACCGCUCACCGGGGAGAGGUCGUUGGAUACUACCGAUCUGGAGUUUGGCAGAGGGUCGUGGAAUUCCGGGUGUAGCGGUGGAAUGCGUAGAUAUCCGGAAGAACACCGGUGGCGAAGGCGGCGACCUGGGCCAAAACUGACGCUGAGGAGCGAAAGCCAGGGGAGCAAACGGGAUUAGAUACCCCGGUAGUCCUGGCUGUAAACGGUGGAUACUAG